CUCUCUACUUCUCCUAGGGCUUCAGCCAGUAUCACCUCAUGCAUUUGAAAAUCAAUGAUGGGUGAGGCCACGCCGGCACCAUCAUGAUAUUUUACGACAGUACUGAGUAUUUAUUUUGGGUCUUGUUGCAAGAGGUAGUGUUUGUUUAUAUUUAUCGUCAGUGAGAGUGAAUUUCUGGCGUCGAAAACUUUGAAAUGAUGUGCAUUGGUGCACCGGAUUGUAUCAGCAAUUCGGAGAGAGAGAGCGAGAGCGAGCAGGCUGUUUCUACUGUAGAUUGGGAGGGCAACAGGUUCACAAAACUGUGGGAAUGACAGCUGGUAACCAGCUGUACAUUUCAAGUGUUUGAGCUUCACUUGGACUGUUCACAAUACGAGAUGAAUAAAGCUGAUGGAAGGAAGCUGUUAUAAAGUGUAGUGCAAUUUCUUCGAAAGUCAACGUUCCAAAUACGUGCACUUCUAAUGGGACAUAACAAAAUAGCAAGGACCGAAGCAGGCAGUAACGAAGCCACUGGAGAGCUACUGAUGAAACAUACUAAAUGCAAAAUAAGACAUUCAGUAGAACUGAAGAUGUUAUUGUAAACGUGCGGUUACAAAAAGUUUAAAGUAGAAGUAAG